UGGACUUUGUAAAACUGGAGACAGUUGAGAAGCCCUCUGGCCGAGACUCUGAAUCCUCUGCUGCUUCAAUAAAAGAGUACUUAGUGGAGGAUCACAUUUUCAGAAUUGACUGUUAUUUAGGAAGGACCUAGUGGAAACCUUUCUGUUCAUCGUUUCUCCAAUCUAAUCUUGAACCCUUAUGGUCAAGACAAUACAUAAAGACUUUGGUCCUGAACUGAAGGACGAGGAGGGUUAGGGCAAACGUGAACGGUAGGAUUCGAACCUGCGCGGGCAGAGCCCACAUGAUUUCUAGUCAUGCCCGAUAACCACUCCGGCACGUCCACUGGA